AUAUAGAUUUGAAUUUAUGGUAGGACUGCCACCCUGAGUGUUUUAUAGUGCCCCAUGCCAGAGCAAACUGUGGCCUAGAACCAUUGCCUGGAAUCUGCUCACAGACUGCAGGCACUGAAGCAGGUCGCACAGUG